GACGAACGCUGGCGGCGUGCUUAACACAUGCAAGUCGAACGGAAAGACCCUGCUUUUGUGGGGUGCUCGAGUGGCGAACGGGUGAGUAACACGUGAGUAACCUGCCCUUGACUUUGGGAUAACUUCAGGAAACUGGGGCUAAUACCGGAUAGGAGCUCCUGCUGCAUGGUGGGGGUUGGAAAGUUUCGGCGGUUGGGGAUGGACUCGCGGCUUAUCAGCUUGUUGGUGGGGUAGUGGCUUACCAAGGCUUUGACGGGUAGCCGGCCUGAGAGGGUGACCGGCCACAUUGGGCCUGAGAUACGGCCCAGACUCCUACGGGAGGCAGCAGUGGGGAAUAUUGCACAAUGGGCGGAAGCCUGAUGCAGCAACGCCGCGUGCGGGAUGACGGCCUUCGGGUUGUAACCCGCUUUCGCCUGUGACGAAGCGUGAGUGACGGUAAUGGGUAAAGAAGCACCGGCUAACUACGUG
rnacentral:rRNA from 1 species